rnacentral:pre_miRNA from 1 species
CCUGUCAUGAUUUAGCAAGCAAUCUCAGCCUGUUAAUAGGAGUUUGGAAAUGUUUAAAUACUCCUAUAACGUCUGAUGAUUACUUGUCAAAUCAUUUUACCAA